rnacentral:rRNA from 1 species
AUGAACGCUGGCGGCGUGCCUAAUCCAUGCAAGUCGCGCGAACAGACGAGGAGCUUGCUCCUCUGACGUUAGCAGCGGACGGGUGAGUAACACGUGGAUAACCUACCUAUAAGACUGGGAUAACUUCGGGAAACCGGAGCUAAUACCGGAUAAUAUAUUGAACCGCAUGGUUCAAUAGUGAAAGACGGUUUUGCUGUCACUUAUAGAUGGAUCCGCGCCGCAUUAGCUAGUUGGUAAGGUAACGGCUUACCAAGGCAACGAUGCGUAGCCGACCUGAGAGGGUGAUCGGCCACACUGGAACUGAGACACGGUCCAGACUCCUACGGGAGGCAGCAGUAGGGAAUCUUCCGCAAUGGGCGAAAGCCUGACGGAGCAACGCCGCGUGAGUGAUGAAGGUCUUCGGAUCGUAAAACUCUGUUAUUAGGGAAGAACAAAUGUGUAAGUAACUAUGCACGUCUUGACGGUACCUAAUCAGAAAGCCACGGCUAACUACGUG